rnacentral:lncRNA from 1 species
GUUGCUGUGUCUUCCGGAACCUCCUUUCCAUAAUGUAUCCACUGCUCUGGCCCUAGGCUCCCUGGAUUUGGCUACAGGGCAUCUUCCUUGGUUUCUUUCAACUCAAUCUUCUAGGAAACAACUAGGCCCCUGCAACUUCAGCCCAGGCCUCAACACUCCUUCCCCAUCUGCUUCUGGCUGGGCCAUGUUCAGGGUUGUGCAACUGCCUCUUAUUACCUGUGGGAUCUGAACCACAAGGAUGCUGUAUAACAGCCAACCACAAAAUCUCACUGUCAGGCUCACAUGUCUGAGGUCAGCUGGGCUUGGCUAGGUUCACUCCUGGUCUAAGGGCUGGCCGGUUGUUUGCUGAUCUAGACUAGCCCUGGCUAGGAAGACCACUGUGACUAAAGUGACUCAGCUCUGCUUCACAUGUCUCUCAUCCUCCAUUAGCCCAAGCCAAGCAUGUUGUCAUGGUGACCACAGAGAUGCAAGAGCACAAGUAGAAUGCCCAAAGCCUAUUGGUACUCAUUCAAUUCUACUUCAUUAUCUUGGCUGAAGGUCACUGGAUCAAACUUGGAUUCAAGAAGUGUGGGAAUAUAGACUCCAAUUCUAUAUUCAUUUUCUAAGGCUUCCAUAAAAAGGUACCACAGAUGGCGUGGCUUAAACAACAAAAAUCUUCACAAUUCUGCAGGCCAGGAGUCCUGGUAUCUUCUGAGGUCUCUCUCCUCAGCUUGUAAAUGGCUGGCUUCUCCUCAUUGUCUACCAUGGAUUUGCCUCUGUACGCUUCUACAUCCUAAUCUCUUCUUUUAGGGACACCAGACAUAGUGAAUGAGAACCCACUCUAAACCUCAUUUUAAAUUAAUUCCCUCUUUAAAGAUCCUGUCUGCAAAUACAGUCACAUUCUGAGGUAUUGUGGUUACAACUUCAAUUAAUUUGAAGGCAGGGACACAAUUUAACCCAUAAGUACCUCCUUAGUGGGAGCAGAUAGAAGGUCACCUGGGAAAGCAUACAGACAUCAGAGAGAAGAACUGAGGUCCUUGCACCAUCUACCUACCAGAAGUGGCAAUACCGGUGUAGCUUGUUCUCUGAACACCACACUGCUCCAGAUUGGGUGACACACUCCUGUACCCUGGGACAAGGACUAUUCCCUGCCAAGCCCCAGAUUUUUCAUUUGUCAUAGGGUCCAGAUCACACCUGUUUAGUGUUUAAGAACCACAAGGAAAGACAAUUUCCAAAAUUGGAUCUCCAUCAAAAAAGUAGAAAAAUCUUAACAGAUUUUCAUAAGAUAAAUUAAAAUGGUAGUCACAUAUCUAUUCCAAAACACAUACACACACACACACACACACACACACACACACACACACACACACUGCACUAGACCCAGCCAGUUCUACAAGUAAAUUCUUAACUAAAAGUUUCCUUAACUAAAUUGAGUAUCAUUUAGGAAUAAAUGUGAGAGGUAGAUAUUCUCAAACAUGAAUGAAUUCUUCUUUUUUAAAAAGUACCUUUGACAAAGCUCAACCAGUGGAAAUGUAGAAAGAAAGAAAAAAACGCACAAAUCUGAAACACAAAGAAGACAUAACCAUUCACAAAAAAAGAAUUCCAUAAACAACUUUAUGCCACCAAAUGUUUAAACCAACAUAAAAGGACCAAUUUUCAAUCACAAUCUCCAAAAUUGGAUCUCCAUCAAAAAAAGUAGAAAAUCUUAACAGAUUUUCAUAAGAUAAAUUAAAAUGGUAGUCAUAUAUCUAUUCCAAAACACACACACAUACUGCACUAGAUCCAGCCAGUUCUACAAGUAAAUUCUUUAAUCCUUUAGGAAACAGAUAACUAACAUUUUAUACUUGCUUUCCCAAUCUACAUAAUAAAAAGAUAUAAUGCAACCCAAAUUGUUUUUAAAUCCCAAGAGGAAAAAAAAGACCAUUUGUGAGCAUAAACGAAAAAAAAAACUAAAUACAUACUUGCAAAAUAAGCCCAGAAACAUUAAAGCAACAAUAUAUCAUGACCAAUGUUAUAGAUUGUAUUAUUGUCAAAGCUUUUGUUGCACGUCCCUGCAGAAAGAUAAUAUGCCUGCCUCCCUGGCAUCAGGCUUAGUGACAGACUUGGUUUGCCCAACAAAAUUUGAAUAGAAGUAACACCUGCCACUUCUGAACAGAAACAUUAAGAUCCUCCAGUAUCUGCUUUACCAUGUUUCUUCAGCCUGGAUCCUAGAAUUAAGAAGAUAUGAAAUCAAUCCUCAAUGUGCUUGUGACAUGAGCAAGGAAUUAACUUCUGUUGUAAUUCAAUAAGAUUUGGGGGUUGCUUGUUACCAAAGCAGAACUUAAUCUAAGCUGACUAAUACAAUAUGGUAAAGAAUAACCCCAAAAUACAAAGAAAUCAUGAGAAAUGUUAAUAAUGUAAUUAACACACUAACAAAUAAGAAAAAAUUCUAUGAUAAUCUCAAUAUAUGCAGAAAAGACAUUUGAUAAAAUUUAAUGUUAUUUACAAUAAAACAAAUUAGAUAACCUGAUAAAACAUACCUACCAGAAACCCAGAUCAAACAGCAUACUUAUUAGAAACUUUAUUUUUAUUUUUUUAGAUGUGGGCUACCAGCAUCCUUCUCUUCAUGGAGCUUUAUAGUAAGAUGUUUUAUUGGGCAAGGAGUCUGACUCAUCUCCAGGGAACAGACAUAUCUGUCAAGAAACUGACUUUUGACAUUUUAUAAUAGCACAGAAAGGUGUCACAGGUUUUAUUUGUGUCUGGGCUACCUGUCACAAGUAAUGAGAUCAUGAUUAUCAUAGUUGCCCCUUAAUUUGGGAACUUAUUAGAAACUUUAGAAGUAUUCCCAUGAAAGUUAGGAACAAGGCUGUGAUCCCAUGUCAAUGUAAUAAUUAUGUAAUAGUUAACACAAUCAUUAUAGCAGUAGCAAUAAUUAAUGUGGUAAGUGAAGGGGAAAAGAAGAAAUCGGUAUAUGACAGAAGAGAAAAUGCCUAUCAAAAUUUGCAGAUAUGAUUCUCUAUCCAGAAAACGCAAGAAAACUUGCUGAUUAAAUAAUUCAAACCAGAAAAGAGGUUAGCCAAGUUGAAAUCAUAUCCAAAAACUAAUAAAUUUCCUAUUCUCCAUCAAUAUUACUGAUGGAGUGUUGCAAGCCCAGCAUGAUGUCCAUACCUGCAAUCCCAGCAACUAGGGAAGCUGAGGCAGGAGGAUCACAAGUUCAAGGCCAGCUUCAACAACUUAUCAAGGCCCUAAGCAAUUUAGGGAGACCCUGUCUCAAAAUCAGAAAUAAAAAUGGUUGAGGACAUAGCUCAGUGGUGAAGUGCCCCUGGGUUCAAUCCCCAGUACCAAAAAAGAAAAAAUCAUUAUUGUUGCAGAAGAGACCCACCCACAGAGCUUGAGUGAGGAUUCCAGGGCAGAGAGAAGACUUAGUAAAAGAAUAGCACAGUUUAUUAGAAGAGAAAAGGAAGAAAGAAAGGGGACAUCCUCAUGGGUGAGAAUGGGUCCUUUCAGAGAGGAGAGUGACAAUGACCCUCACAAAGUCAAGGAUUUCUAAGGACUUCUGGGCCCCUCUGUUCUUGCCUCAAUUUCUCAUAUCCACUUAAUCUGUUUAUUACCCUUUGGAUAGCCCUCAGCAAAUUUUCUUUGUAACAGUCUGGUACAUCCUGGUCACAAGAAGUGGUUAGGAUGGUUGUGACAUGGUUUCAGAGAUAAGGGAGGGUCACCUGGCCACCUGGAAGGCUGUGACACAUAGUUUUUUUCUUAAGGGGAUGUAAUUACUACUUGAAAUACCAGGUUCCCAUCCCCCAGAUGCUGUCUGAUAAGGCUCCCUGUGGUUUUCAGUGGCUUUCACUGUUCCUGCUCACCUGUUCAUGGUUGACUAGCUACCUAACAACUAGGUGACAUUUCAAAUCAGUGGGGGAAGGGCAGACCAUCCAAUAAGUAAUACUGAGUUAACCAGCCAAAGUCAAGGACUAAGCAUAAACCUGGAUCCCUACCUCCAUAGCCACAAAAAGACUCUCAAUAGAUGCAGAAAAGCUGCAGACUAGGUAUAAAUUGAGAUUGCCAUCAUCCCCUCUCUUUGGGUUUGAUAAUUAGCUAAAAUGGCCCACAUAACUCAGGGAAACACUUUAUCCAUUUAUUAUAAAUGAUACAGAUGAACUUCCAGAUGUGAAGAUAAAUAGGGCAAAGUAUAAAUCAGUACAGAGCUUCCAUGACCCCUCUGGGUACACUACCCUCCGAGAACCUUUGUGUGUUCAGCAACCCAGAAGUUCAUCAGAUCUUUUAUAGAAAGUUCAAGAGUUUGUAUAGAGCUUAACCUAGCUGCAUCCCUUCCUUAAAGGUGAGUGGGUGGGACUCAAGUUCCAACCCUCGAAUCUUUUAAUCACUUGAUCUUUCUGGUGACUAGUCCCACCUUGAGAAUAUCGAAGGCCAUACCCUAGGUCAUCCUAAAUUAGCACAAACUCAGGUGUGAUCAUAAAAGGAGCAUUAUAAAUGAUAAUAACAAAAAGAAAACAUUCCCAGAGCUCAGGGAGUUCCAAGGGUUUUAGGAAUUCAGAGACAUGAACAGGGGACAAAGAUCAGAUCCCCAAAGUAGUCCCUUUACCCCACCCCCAGUCUGAGAUUUCAUUUUCCACUUUCAGUUACCCAUGAUCAACUUCAGUCUGAAACAAUAAAUGGUCAAAUUUCACAAACAAUAAGUGUUCGAUUGUGCACUGUCCUGAGUCAAAUGAUGAAAUCUCACACCAUCCUGCUUUGUCCUGACCAGGACCCCAUCAUUUCUUUGUCUGAAGUAUCCAUGCUACCUAUACUAUCCAUUCAUUAGUCACUUAUAUCAACACUGCUUAUAUUCAAGUAAUCUUAGUUCUGUUUGAUAACAGCCCCAAAGCACAAGGGUGGUGAUGCAAAGGCCACACCAGGACAUAAACAUUGAAAGGACAGAUAAACUUUGGUACUAUUUGGCAAUGCUGCAGGGCAUUUGGCAAAAGCAUACUAUAUAUAAGGUUUGGUAUGAUCCAUGGUUUCAGGCAUCCCCUGAGGGUUUGAAACAUAUCCCCCAUGAAUAAGAAGGUCUGCCUUAUUCCAUAAUAAACCACAGAACCUAAGGAGACACAGUAAUAAAUGUAAUAUGGUGUUCUGGAACAAAAAGAAGGACAUUUGGGGAAAAGUAGGGAAAUGUGAAUAAAUGAUGAACCUUAGCUAUAACAAUGUGUUGAUAUUGGUUCAUUAUUUAUAAUAAAUGCAUCAUACUAAUGUAAGAUAUUAAUAACAGGAAAAAUUGGAAGGGGAGACUACUAUUUGCCCAUAAAUCUGUAAGUCUAAAAUUGUUCUAAAAGAAAUAAAGUCUACUAAUACAAAAAAAUGAUAGUGUAACAGGGGUCCACUUCAUGCUUUGACCAUAACUCUUGUUGCCCUGCCACUAUGACUUACUUUAAAACUGAC